rnacentral:misc_RNA from 1 species
CCAAACUUGGUCAUUUAGAGGAAGUAAAAGUCGUAACAAGGUUUCCGUAGGUGAACCUGCGGAAGGAUCAUUAACAAAAUAAUCCUAUAUCUUUAUACACCCACAUAAAAUGUGCAUCAUUUGUAGUCUCUUUGGUAGGUUUUUCCCUUUGAAAUUAAAGCUUUUGAAGGGAAACGUAAGUUACUUUUUGAGAAAAAAGUAAUCCUACCAAAGUUUUUUUUAAAAAAAACCCUCGAUUAUAUUUAUUUUUUGACUGAGAAUUUUUAAAUUUUAUUUAUAAAUACAACUUUUAACAAUGGAUCUCUUGGCUCUUGCAUCGAUGAAGAACGCAGC